UGCGGCGCGGCGCGCAUUGCGUUUCCAAGUGUUUAAAACGCGCUUGGUGUGAUUGGCCCUUUAUUGUAACACUCCAAAUGUCUUCAAAGGCCAUCGAAGUCUGUUCCUUCACUUCUCACUCACAGCCUUAAAGGUUCUGUCAGCAGGCCAGUUCUCCUCCGCAGGAGGUGAACUGGAGGAUUUGGGAUGUUCUCAGCUCUGAUUAGCGGGGAAUGUCAUGUGACAGCACGAGGAUUAUCUUGUUCCAGUAUGAGAGGACUAAGUGUGGAAAGCAUGCAACUGCACUCUGCAACCGUCCACUGCGUUUGCCUGAUUAGGGUCUGCGAUAGAGUGAUGGAGAGGAGACGUCAUUGGCGGUGAAGCUGAAGAAAACUGUGAUGAACUGCGCUAAGAUAACUAAAGCAAAUCUUCACUGACCUUCAGUGGCAGCUGUAGUCCACGCAGAUGUUGCAACACUUAGGUACAUAUGUACAAGUGUCCUUCAUCUGUUCUUAUCUUUCUCCUCCUCACCUCUCACAUGAUUCUGCCUCUCCUACAGACACACAUUCAUGGUGUCGUCAUUAUUCGGAGGUGUCAUGGUCAACUCAAUUCUGGUCUUGAUUUGGGCAUUUCUGAGUUUAAGUUUGCAGCAGUGUCUUUGUAUGUAAGUCUAGUGUCUUUUGUACUACUACCAACAUUAAAAACUAAAUCCGGUAAUUGUUUCAAUGUUUAUAACUAGCGGAGAAUGCUUUUUGGUUUUGGCUCAAUCAUUCAAAAAAAUUUGAGUUUGAUUAUUUAUAUUUUUACACAAGCAACACACACAUCUCUGCUACAAAUGAACAUUCGAAGUUUGUUUCUAGUACUUACCAUUCUUGGACAAUUACAACAAACGUGACAGAAGUGCAAACGUUACAACUUACCCCAGAGGUGGGGUUAAUUGUAACAGGUGGGGGGUUAGUUGUAACACUUGCUAAAAAUUAAGUUUGCAGGGAAAUUUUAUGGGUAUUUCCCAGAAUUCGGGCCUAUUUAUGUCCCCAGGGUGUAAUUUUAUUAAAAACAAAUCAAAUCUAAAGCCCGGAAUACACUGCACGAUAAUUGGCUGUCCCAGACGAAAGAUUGCCAUCGUGAAACUAUCGUCGCGAUUUCUGUGAUCGUGGCUCUCCAUCGGUGGUCCUAUGUCGUACAGUGAGAGAGGUUCAAAGACGGCCGUUUUCCCGGUCUUGCGUCCAAAGAUAGCCUACGAUAGUUUUCUGGCAGUGUCAGAAAUUCGGCAUGAUCACCGCACAGUGUGUUUGCUGCUACGACCUGCGCGCCGGUAUUUGUUUACCACGAGCGCAUGCUGGUGACGUUGCGCAACGUGUGACGCAGCCGCCGAAGCUUCUGUGUCAUCAUCGUACAGUCUACAUGCCUCUCGUACCCGAGUUUAAACGAUACAUGUCGCACAGUGUGAUAAGGUAAUGAUCUUAUAAGAGGACAAAAAUCGUGCAGUGUA